GUGGGGAUGACGUCAAGUCAUCAUGGCCCUUACGGCCUGGGCUACACACGUGCUACAAUGGUCGGUACAAAGGGUUGCCAAGCCGCGAGGUGGAGCUAAUCCCAUAAAACCGAUCGUAGUCCGGAUCGCAGUCUGCAACUCGACUGCGUGAAGUCGGAAUCGCUAGUAAUCGUGAAUCAGAAUGUCACGGUGAAUACGUUCCCGGGCCUU
rnacentral:rRNA from 1 species